UCACAGCAGGAAAGCACUAGAGCAAACUAGAAAGAGUACUACUGUUCCUGAAAAGUAGAAAAUCUGCCUCACACAGCUGGGGGGGCGACAAGGAGCAACCAACCUCCCUCAGACCCUCAACUUGACCUCACUCCAGCGCCCCGCCCACCGCCCUCACACGGCCCCGCCCACCGCCCUCACACGGCCCCGCCUACCGCCCUCACACGGCCCCGCCUACCGCCCUCACGCGCAACUGCACCCAAAUCAGCACGUGCCCCUGGAUUCCAAUUCUAUUGGGCAAGACGAAGAGGGCAGGGCUAACCCCUCUAUAAAAGACAGCGCGGCGGAUUCUCGGUCUUUCUUUCGGCGUGGCUGAUGAGGUGAGCGGCUUGGUCGGAGCGGAGCGGGCGGAUGGGUGGAGAGGCCGGGCCGCGGUGAUGUCUCUUGACACGUGGCCCGUGCGGCGACCGGCGGCUGGGAGCGGCAGUAAAUAAUAAAGUUGUGUCACCCAGAUCGUGUCCGGCUGGUUCUUCCGCGCGUGUCUGCACUGCCUUUGACCCGGCGGUGCCCGCCUGGCGCCGUCGGCCAAGCAGCGGUGCUACAGCGAAGUGCUUGUUCAUAACUGGCGCUGCUCGGCCCUACCCGGGCUGCGCUUUUAAAAGCAAGUGACAUUUG